CUUUUCUAAGAAUCUUGAAGAAAGGGUUAAAAACCCAGGUGAGCCGGGUUUGGUGGUGCACACCUGUGAUCCCAGCACUUGGGAGGCUGAGGCAGGAGGAUUACCAUGAAUUCGAGGCCAGCCCAGGGUACAUAGUGAAUUCAAGGCCAGCCUGGACUACACACUGAGAUGAAAAAAAACCCAAUAGAAAGACAAAAAAACCCCCCAGUGAGCUGCUUAGAGAGGAGCGCUCAUGUCCACACCCACUUCCAGAACACGGCACAGAACAGGGGAAAAUCCAAUUAAGAGGAAGCACUCAGGCAGCCAGCCCCGGGGAUUCCGAGCAGAAACAGAGGUGCUUCCAAGUCAGGAAGCGGCGGCAGUGAGAUACAUCAAAGUAUCUUCCCAGAGAGCUGAAGACAUCUGAGCGUGACCCAUGAAUACUCCUGUUUACAGCAGCAAACAGCUGCAUCUUGGAAGUGGCCUAUCUGUUCAUCAACAGAUGAGAGGCUAAGGAAAGUGGUAUUUACACACCAUGGAGCACUACUCUGGCAUUAACAAGGAUAAACUCGAGUCAUCUGUAGGAGAAUGGAUGCACCUUGAGACCACAAUGUGGUGAAUGAAUGAGAUUCUACAUUUCUACAUUUCCUACGCAGAUCAUUCACUCAGAAGUUCAUUUUUUCAAAACAAUGGGAAAGGGGUCGUGUGUGGAGACCACGCCUGAGCGCCCUCGAGGCUGGGGCUGACCUGGUGACACAGCGCCACCGAGACAAUGCAGGUCCCCAGCCUGGGGUCGCAGGGCCCAAGGUUGUCUGCUCACAAGAGCCACAAGUCACCUGCCUGUGUGAGACAAGGCGUAGCGAAGGUGGCUCAGCAAGGAAGAGCCUUUCCACCUCCCAUCAGGUUCUGUGACUUCGCAGCACUCGGCGAUGGCAGAGCACGGUGGGCACUGCUGCCAUCCGGUCACCGCCCUCUGCUGCACAUUUACACCAGUGGAGCCGCUCUGCCGUGGCACUGCAGAUGUUCUGGUCGAUUCCCUGGCGUGGGGCUGCGCAUGCAGAGUAUUAGCAACAACCUCGGUGCCGUCCUAUUAGAUGCCAGCAGUGCUGUCAGUGUCAACCUUCAACGUUAUCCCCGGGCUUGCGUGAAUGGCCCCUGUGAGGACAAACCGCUCCCCACCCACACCGAGAACCAUGGAUCUAAAUAAUAAAGAAAAAACCAAUUACGAGCACUCACCGAGGUUUACAUAAGGGAUCUAACAUUUAAAAGCGCUUACUCUGUGAAAGACGGACGGAAGACAACACUGUUGGAAGAAACUGCUCCCACACACACUGUACCUCCCACCAGCAGGGCGCAGCCCCAAGGGGCGAGGUUGUGACAGAAUCUCACUGAUCCAGUCCCAUGGGGCACAAAGGCAGCUCAGAACUUACAGAAUAAAACCCGGUUGCUGCAGAGACAUUAAAAACCGGAGGUGUAGAACAAAACAGCCACAGAUGUGCAGCUCUCAGCAGACCGGCUGUUAAUCAGUCACCGUCCGAAGGAGCCAGCAGGUGAAUGUGUAACACCAGCCGCUUCGGUAUCAGGACCCAGGGUGGCCAAGGAAUCUCACGCCCGCAGCUUAUUAAGGGCCAGGACGCCGUAACCCCCUGGCCACCAGCCUCAGAGCUUGACUCGUCUGUAAACUCCCCAAAAUGUGUGGGCACCAAACGCUUAGUCUGCGAGGGAGGGGUGGGGUCACUGCCAGGAGCCCUCUCGAUGUUUGUUAAAUAUUUCUGCCAAGUCCUGGACAACUGCAAAGACUCAGUGCUGACUGAGACUCAUCCUGUGAGGCGCCCUUUCCCAGCCAAAGUCCCCCGGAAGAGGCCCCUUGUCACAGCCGCCUCGCCCCAAUCUGUCCAAUAGGAGUACAUUUUAAAAAUAUUUACUUUUGAUACUGGGGAUGGAACCCAGGGCCUUUGCAUUGAGCUAUUUCCCCCGGCCUUUUUUGUAGUUUCUAUUUUGAGGCAGGGUCUCGCUAAGUCACCAAACUGUCCAGGCGGGGCUUGAACCCAAUUGGCAUCCUCCUGCCUCAGCCUCCCAGAGGGGUGGGAUGAUGGACGUGUACCUACUACACCUGGCUCUGAUCAUAAGUGUUUAUGCUGCCCCGCAUGAUUUUGCAGUAAUAUGCCUGGUAGGGGAGGAGAUGUGUUGAUUGCUGGCUCUCACACCGUCCCCGUUGAAGGGAGACAGGGCAACCUUAGCGGCUGCGGUGGAGACCAGCAAGGGCUCUCACUCUCGGGACAGGAAGUAGCCUUGGCUGGGAGCAAGGGAGGGGGGCUGGCCUGCAAACAGCCCGGACUUCCGGUGGAGGGACUGUCCCCAAAUCAGACAGCAACUCUGCCUACCCGGUUCUGUAAACUUACCACAAAGCAUUCACCCUCACACAGUCCUUGGUACUGAAUUACAAUGCCACAGCCGGCCGACCUGUUCUGAAGGACUAGAAAUCUCAGCCACGCUCAGACACCCCCUGCCUGUUCAGCUGUUCAUUCCCAAACUCUGCCACUGACUCUGAAAGGGCACCUGCUUCUUCUGAGUGCUCAGCAGAGACCAAGAUCAGGUCAAUGAAAAGCAAAUGUGUAAC
ensembl:lncRNA